GAUCGCAGCAGUUGCCGGAGCGUAACGGCGCCGGACUCCCACGUCACGCUGCUUUUACGGCAGUCAAAAGUUGACUGACGUAGCAUAGCAACGCCUCCAACAACGCUCGGUAACACAAGAUGAGCUUCAUAAGCCAGUUGUUCAAGCAAUCCUUACGAAGUCGAGCUGAAAUACCAGAUGGUUUUGCUUGUUUCGUGUAAACUAUUUGACCGUGAUUUCUCUGUUUAAAAAAAUCUGGAUUUCGAAGUUGGCUUCGUGUGUCUGAGGUCCAAGGGGGCAUUUGGUAUAAAGGUGUCUUCUCCAUAAACAUGUCCAAAAGUUGAGGAAACCACCCCCGGUAUAUCAAACACAAAAUGAAGAAUCCGACCAUGAUCCAAAGAUCAGAUCCACUGUUCGGUAGAUGGUGUGAGCUACACAUCAUCAAGCACAUUUCAACUUCGUAAGAUGGCUGAGUUGGAUGUUUCCAGAAUUGCAUAUACUGCCAUAACGCAGAAGGACAAAACUAAAGCAUUGCAGUUUAUACAACAGGUUUGAUGU
rnacentral:lncRNA from 1 species